ACUCCUACGGGAGGCAGCAGUGGGGAAUAUUGGGCAAUGGGCGCAAGCCUGACCCAGCAACGCCGCGUGAGGGAAGAAGGCUUUCGGGUUGUAAACCUCUGUCCUUGGUGACGAAAAAAAUGACGGUAGCCAAGGAGGAAGCCCCGGCUAACUACGUGCCAGCAGCCGCGGUAAUACGUAGGGGGCGAGCGUUGUCCGGAAUUACUGGGCGUAAAGGGUGCGUAGGUGGCCUUUUAAGUUGGAUGUGAAAUCCCCGAGCUUAACUUGGGUGGUGCAUCUAAUACUGGAGGGCUAGAGUGCAGGAGAGGGAAGCGGAAUUCCUAGUGUAGCGGUGAAAUGCGUAGAUAUUAGGAGGAACACCAGUGGCGAAGGCGGCUUUCUGGACUGUAACUGACACUGAGGCACGAAAGCGUGGGGAGCAAACAGGAUUAGAUACCCUGGUAGUC
rnacentral:rRNA from 1 species